rnacentral:rRNA from 1 species
GCCAGCAGCCAUAUCUGCUGGCCAGUGCAACUGCAACUCACAACUGGCAGCCCACUGAAGCAAAGCAGGUGUGAGCCUGGUCAGUACCUGGAUGGGAGACUCCUGGGAAAAACUAAGGUUGCUGCUGGAA